GCCGUUAUAGCUCAGUGGUAGAGCACUGGUCUCGUAAACCAGGGAUCGUGCGUUAAAUCCUCACUUGAGGCA
rfam:Ciona savignyi cont_2395, whole genome shotgun sequence.